CAUUUUACAGAACAAACUUGAAACUGGCUAUUAAUGAAGCUCUGAAAGUAAUGGAAAUGUAGCAUUGCUUAAUUUCAAAUAAAAGAUAAAAAGUUGUGGACCUACCUCAAUAGCUUUUGCAGCUUGUUCUUUUGUUUCAAAUUCCACGAAGGCAAAUCCCUUUGGGUCCCCAGUAGAUUUAUAAUGUGGUAUACUUAUAUAAACAACAUUGCCACAUUUCCCGAAUACUCUCUCAAUCCAGCUGUGGUUAACAUUUUUGGGAAGUAAUUCCUAUGAUAAAAUAGUAAUAAUAAAUUGUUAAAAACCUUAACUGAAAAUAAAGCUUUACUUAAAUU